ensembl:lncRNA
CAUAUUCUCUGCAUCUGUAUUUAUUUAAAAAUGCUUUUGCAACCUGACACUGUUCAGCUUUUUUAUCUUUUACCAGUAUUUGGGGACUUAUUGGGGAUUCCUUUGAUAAUUUCAGGAAGAAAGAAGUGGAAUGGAAGGAGCCAGUAACUGUCCCAGGUCAGAAAACGCCUCUGAAAAGGAUCUACAUUACACCCAAAGUUCAUUGGAUAACUGCACCCUCAACAAUCAGGAGACAAUAAGUGGUGUAGACAGAGCUAAUAUCUUCCCCAAAUCAGAUGGUACCUCUGAAGACAUUCAGCAUUCCACAGACUGUUCACAGGUUGAGACUUUCCACAUUCAGGAGACAAUAAGUGGUACGAACCAAGCCAGUAACUGCCCCAAAUCAGAUGGUGCCUCUGAAGACAAUCAGCAUUGCACAGACAGUUCACAGCAUGACAGUAUCUUCCACAUUCAGGAGACAAUAAAGGGUACGAACCAAGCCAGUAACUGCCCCAAAUCAGAUGGUGCCUCUGAAGACAAUCAGCAUUGCACAGACAGUUCACAGCAUGACAGUAUCUUCCACAUUCAGGAGACAAUAAAGGGUAUGAACCAAGCCAGUAACUGCCCCAAAUCAGAUGGUGCCUCUGAAGACAAUCAGCAUUGCACAGACAGUCCACAGCAUGACAGUAUCUUCCACAUUCAGGAGACAAUAAAGGGUAUGAACCAAGCCAGUAACUGCCCCAAAUCAGAUGGUGCCUCUGAAGACAAUCAGCAUUGCACAGACAGUUCACAGCAUGACAGUAUCUUCCACAUUCAGGAGACAAUAAAGGGUAUGAACCAAGCCAGUAACUGCCCCAAAUCAGAUGGUGCCUCUGAAGACAAUCAGCAUUGCACAGACCGUCCACAGCAUGACAGUAUCUUCCACAUUCAGUGGCUCUUGAUGUAGAACCACCCAUAGAUCCUUCUGCAAAAGAAGUCCAGAAAUCUUCAAUUGAACAAGCAACAGAAAUAACAAGUACCACAACUACCAUGAAAGGUACUGUUUGUUAAACUUCAUAGAAAGCCUUUAUGAACUUAAAAAUCUCUGUUUUUUCUGAUGUGCUUUGUUCAUUCAGGUCGAAAGGUGGUAAAGAAAAAGAAAUGGGACAGUGAUGAAAUGAAUGCAGUUGAAAAGCAUCUAAACAGGUUCAUCAAAACUUGUACAGUGCCAGGAAAACAACAAUGUGAGGCCUGUAUAAAUGCUGAACCUGUUGCCUUGAAAGACAGGGAUUGGUUGUCUGUAAAGUUCUUUGUGAAGAACAAAAUCACUACCCUUAAAAGAAGAAUGUAAAGUCAGUUAUUUUAUUUUGUUUGGUAUCUUAUUUUCUGGUAUUUUAGAUUUCUGGUUAUUACAUUUGUUUUAAAAGGAUCUUAGAAUCUCUUUUUUUUUUUUUUGGAAAUGGGUGCAAUUCAGU